rnacentral:ncRNA from 1 species
GGGGAGCUUCGGCGCCCUACACACCCGGGUCUGAAACCUCAGACCCCCCUAACGGAAGACAGAGA